rnacentral:lncRNA from 1 species
GGAAAGAAGUGGGUGGUGUUGGCUCUGCACAUUGGAGGAAGAAAUGCACAGAGCCAGAGAAGACUUGAGCAGGGCUGGAGGCUGACAGGAAGGAGUUACUGCAGCUGGGAGAGAGGAAUGGGCUUACUGAUGGAGCACCAACCUGCUGGAGGUCAACCGUCAACUGCUGAAUCCAUAACAGUCGGGUUCUCUGUUGCCAGAGAGGUUUUAGCUUUGGAAAGAAAUGGGGCACUGUGUUCUCAGAAACAGCAGAGGGGGCUAAGAAGAAAGAGUGUGUUUUGAGGGGAGAACAGGGAAAUCGAGAGUGAAACUGUCCUUCCCACCAUCUCUUAGAGUGAGAGAGCCAGGUAGGGCUGUUGUCCUUAGACAGUGUAAAAGUUUUGAAAAGGCAGCAGAAAGUCAAAAGAGAUGACCCCAAGGAAAUGAGGAAGGCGAGUGUUAUCAUCUGUGGACUGACUACAAUUCACUCACAGCAAUAGCUAAUAUUGGAGUUCUUAUUUUUUCUAGGUGCUUGAACACAGAACAUCUCACUUAACUCUUAGCACAAUCCUUAAGAGCCAAAUGUGUGAUCCCCCUCCAGAAAAGACUUGAGUCUUUACAGUUGGAAUUUCCGUGUCGUGAGUGGAUCUUGGUCCAUCACCCAGGCUGGAAUACAGUGGUGCAAUUAUAGUUCACUGCGGCCUCAAAUUCCUGCACUCAACAGAUCCUCCCACCUCAGCCUCGCAACUGGCUGGGACUACAGGGAUGCACCACCACACC